CAUGGCAAAAAUUUCAACAGAAUUAGGCCUUUCAGUACUUCACAUUUGUUGAACUAAUGGCCAUUUUCUAUUUUGUUGCUGUUUGGAUUGUUCAGGUAUUGGAAGUUUUGGGUUCCACGGAAUUAUUGGUGCUUAUCUACAAAGUUGAUUAUGCUUAUCAUUCUAGAUUUUCUGAUUCUCAGUUGAACAGUACCGUUGAUAAAGCUACACGAUGGAUGCUAUUCAUUAUAUAAGUUAUAAAUUUAUUGGCGUCAAAGUAGAGCUUCAGGUUUAUGGUUGAGUAUAUCAUUGUAAAGUAGUUUAUGGCUCAGUAUAUCACUACAGGUUCCUUACACCGUCAAAUUUCAAUGUUUUUGUAUUUUUGUCAAUGGAACCAUGUUCUUUGACUAUAAAGUAGCAGAGAUUUCUUUUCUUAUCAAUUCUAAUCCCUUUUUGAUGCAUUGUAGGUUUGCUAUCAAACUCUCAAAAAAGGAAAAACAACUUUACUCUGUUUUAUGGAUAACCUUCCUGUAGAGUACCUCGACAGAGACAAAUAUGCGAUCACGGAUAUAUUCGAUUGAUUUUCACGCAAAACUUGGAGGAUAUUUUUGCAGGUAUAUGUGAUUGGCGGGGAUGGAACAAUGAGAGGAGCAGUGGUGAUAUUCGAAGAGUUUAAACGGUGUCGUUUGAGGAUAUCCAUUACAGGGAUCCCAAAAAACUAGGACAAUGACAUCAAAAUCAUAGACAAGGCGUUUGGGUUUCAAACUGCAGUGGAGAGUGCUCAGUAGGCAAUCGAUGCGACACAUGUGGGGUUGUGAAUAUUGUGGAUGGCAUUGGUCUUGUCAAACUUAUGGGAAGGAGCAUGGGACAUAUUACUCUUCAUGCCACCCUGAGCAGCCUGAGAUGUUGACUGUUGUUUGAAUCCUGAGAUCGAUUUCCAUGUUGAAGGGAAGGGGCAUGCUGUCGUUGUUGUUGCUCAAGGCGCUGGCAGGAGUUGAUUCCCCGGAUUGAUGACCAGAAGCGAGAGCAGGAUGAGUAUGGCAACAUGUUGUUCCUUAGCGUUGGCCUUGUUCUAUAAAGUUUACAUACAAU